AGAUAGGUUUUAGGCUGCAGCCGGUGAGGGGUAACUCUGAGAGUGGAUUUCAGGCCCUGGCCCCUUGGUUUCAGCUGUCCACUAAGAACUUGUCUAUUCUAGGACUCGACCGUAAGUCUCAAUCAGCCCAGUCUUACGUAGGAGUAAUGCCUUUGUCUUACUGAUAGUUAAGGCUAACUGUAUUUACUUAGUUGUUAUACACGACAUUGGGCACUAAGUGAUGUUUUAGAUUUUUCCAAUAGCUGGUACAGUUACGUCCUUAAAUGCAAGAAUACAAAGGAAGAUAAAAUAUAUUGCACUAUGAGUGCUGAAGACUCUCAGCCUGUUAGAGGAAAAUAAUAUUAAGAAUAGUAUUUUUAAUAGAUACUCUUAUAAAGUAGUUUAAUCGUUUUUAUAAUGUUUACAUUACAAAUGUGAAUUUAUAUACGUGCAAAAUUUUGAACAGUGCAAGUUGGGUGAGAACUGUUUUUAUAAACCAAUCAAAGGCUCAGUCUUUGUGUGAUGGGUCCUUCCUGCAUUGACAUGUGAAAAUAUUUGUUAACACUCAAGUUCAGUUCUUCAUCUAGCCUUAAAUGUGCCUCAUUGCUUUUUAAAUGCUAAAAGUCUUCAGCGCCAAUGAUAUAACUUGCCAUCUCUAUGCCCUUAAACAUACAGUUUGUUUGGAUUUUUUUUUUUAAUUGCUAGUAUGAGAAAUGCUACCUUAAACAUGUGUGAAUGUGUUUUCCUACUUCUGUCCAAGUACUGCUUAUGGUGCAGAUGACAACAAAAGAACAGACUAGAUCUCAGGCAUACAUCUUCAAUCCUAGUAGUAGAGUCUUCAGAUAAGGGCCCCUAGUGUUGCUACAGUGUUCAUUUCCACCCAUAAAGUUUAAAUAAUCCUAUUUACUACCCUUUGGAAGAGAAAUAAUAUGCAAGCUUUUGUUGUUGUUGUUGUUUUUUUCAAAUUGAUGAGCAUGAGAAAAGUUAGGGUUAGGGUGUGUGUAUAUAUACAAACUAAGUUCAGGGUUCUUGUAUACAAUGAUUUGGGUGACAAGGUGAAGCAACUUGUGUGACUACUGUAAUGCAGACGCCUUCCACUUAGUAAUUAAAACACCUCACACUAUCCUAAUACUGUCACCGUGAUUAGUUUUGCCUGCUUUCAGACUUUUGUAUACAUACAAAGUACAUACUUACUCCAAGGCUCCUUUUUCUUGAUACCUGUGAUGGCUGGUAUUGAUUAUCAGCUUCACACGAUCGAGAAUCAUCAAGAAGACAGAUGUCUGGGCAUGUCUGUGUAAGUUUCUAGCUUGUGUUAAUUGAGGUGGGAAACCCACUCUAAAGCCACCUCAUUCAUAUUCUGCGGUCCCAGAACAAGUAAGAUGGAGAAAUGAGUGGAAUAGCUGUGUUCAUGUUGAUGUGUUUCCAGAUAUGUAGAUGUAUCCCACACUUCGGCCACCAUGCCUUUUCUGCCAUGUUGGAUAGUACCCUAAAUAUAAGCCCAAUAUAUCUUUCCUGAACUUGCUUUCUGUCUUAUAUUUUAUCUAAACAAUAAGGAAAAUAAGUAAUAUAUCACUAUAUUUGUAAUACUAAUACAUAGUAAAAGUGUUAUAGUAAUUUAUCCAUUCUCAGUUUUGUUUAUAAUUCCAAAUGUUGUUCAUUCUACUGUUGCUCAGCAUUAGGUAAUUGGAUGUUUGGAGUAAUUACAAUGAUGCUGUUAUGGAUAUUCUUGCACCUUGUCAUUGGUACCUGUAACUAUACAUUUGAUCUUGAUAUAUAAGAAAUGUCUCACUGUGCCUCAGGAUAUAAAUACAUGUUUAGCAGGAAUAGACAUUUCCUAGUAAAUUUUUGGUUUCAUCAAUUUCCACAUCCGCAAACAAGGAAAAAAAUCUGGAUGCUCAAUAUUUGGAUGGAUAAUAUUUUCAGCUGUAAUCUUUCAUACUUCUUUUCAUCUUUUACAUGUCUAUAUUUAUAAGUAUCAUAACAUGGAUUUGACUUGCAUUUUCUACAUAAAAAUGAGUUUAUAAACUAA
rnacentral:lncRNA from 1 species